GUGAUGAAACGGCCGUGACGCGAGAGGUGAAGAGGUGUUUCUAAGCUGA
rnacentral:snoRNA from 1 species